rnacentral:rRNA from 1 species
GGAGGCGCUGCUAUACAUGCAGUCGAGCGGACCGACGGGAGCUUGCUCCCUUAGGUCAGCGGCGGACGGGUGAGUAACACGUGGGUAACCUGCCUGUAAGACUGGGAUAACUCCGGGAAACCGGGGCUAAUACCGGAUGCUUGAUUGAACCGCAUGGUUCAAUCAUAAAAGGUGGCUUUCAGCUACCACUUGCAGAUGGACCCGCGGCGCAUUAGCUAGUUGGUGAGGUAACGGCUCACCAAGGCGACGAUGCGUAGCCGACCUGAGAGGGUGAUCGGCCACACUGGGACUGAGACACGGCCCAGACUCCUACGGGAGGCAGCAGUAGGGAAUCUUCCGCAAUGGACGAAAGUCUGACGGAGCAACGCCGCGUGAGUGAUGAAGGUUUUCGGAUCGUAAAACUCUGUUGUUAGGGAAGAACAAGUACCGUUCGAAUAGGGCGGUACCUUGACGGUACCUAACCAGAAAGCCACGGCUAACUACGUGCCAGCAGCCGCGGUAAUACGUAGGUGGCAAGCGUUGUCCGGAAUUAUUGGGCGUAAAGCGCGCGCAGGCGGUUUCUUAAGUCUGAUGUGAAAGCCCCCGGCUCAACCGGGGAGGGUCAUUGGAAACUGGGGAACUUGAGUGCAGAAGAGGAGAGUGGAAUUCCACGUGUAGCGGUGAAAUGCGUAGAGAUGUGGAGGAACACCAGUGGCGAAGGCGACUCUCUGGUCUGUAACUGACGCUGAGGCCGAAAGCUGGGGGAAAAAAAAAAAAAAAAAACGC